rnacentral:rRNA from 1 species
GACGAACGCUGGCGGCGUGCUUAACACAUGCAAGUCGAGCGGUAAGGCUCCUUCGGGAGUACACGGGCGGCGAACGGGUGAGUAACACGUGAGUAAUCUGCCCCUUACUUCGGGAUAAGCCUCGGAAACGAGGUCUAAUACCGGAUACGACCACUUCUCGCAUGGGAUGGUGGUGGAAAGUUUUUCGGUGGGGGAUGUGCUCGCGGCCUAUCAGCUUGUUGGUGGGGUAAUGGCCUACCAAGGCUUCGACGGGUAGCCGGCCUGAGAGGGUGACCGGCCACACUGGGACUGAGACACGGCCCAGGCUCCUACGGGAGGCAGCAGUGGGGAAUAUUGGACAAUGGGCGAAAGCCUGAUCCAGCAACGCCGCGUGAGGGAUGACGGCCUUCGGGUUGUAAACCUCUUUCAGCGGGGACGAAGCGCAAGUGACGGUACCCGCAGAAGAAGCACCGGCCAACUACGUGCCAGCCGCCGCAGUAA